rnacentral:lncRNA from 1 species
AGGCAGAUUUAGCUGCCUGCAGAUUUCCCACUAUACAGGGUUGGUGGCCCUAACCCCUGCAUUGUUCAAGGGUCAAAUGUAUCUAUUUUGUGCUAGAUAUUUUAAGAGCUCUAUGUUAAAAGAGUGAGUUUGUUUUUUGUUUUUUGGGUAUUUGCGGGUGGCGGGGAGCAUGCCCGCAGCAGGCAGAAGUUCCCUGGCCAGAAAUCAAACCAGAGCUACAGCAGUGACAACAGGCCACAGCAGUGAUAAUGCUGAAUCCUUAACUGCUAGGCCACCAAGGAACUCCAAGAAUUAGUGUUUUAUAGAAAAUAUAAGAUAAAUAGAAGACCAUCAAAGUUAUCUUAAACAUUAACUGUAUUUCUGAACUUGGUCUGUAUUUAAUAUAACAGAGGAUUAUAGCAUCUUUAAGUGAAAAGAAGCAGGUUAAUUAUAGUUGUGAUUAUGUCAUAUUUUAUGGUGAAAGUUAAUUUGGCCAUACUAUAAUUCUAAUUUUAAUAUGGUAUAUUAAGGAUAAUGUAAUUCUGAUUCAAUAUAUUAUCUUUCAAAAAAUAAUUAAAUGAUACACAUAUCAUUUACUAGUAAUCUGAUAGUAUAAUUAUAUGGAACUGAAGAUACUUCAUAAUAAGCAAUGCAUAAUGUUUUAAAUCAAGACAAUUAAUGGGAAUAAGGCAGAUGGGCUCAAAAGGCACCUAUGCCAAAGCAAUGAAUAACCUGAUUUUUCAAUUUCAAGACAGAAAAAAAUUCCAAUAUUCUGUAAUAGGCUAUAUGGAAAAAGAAUCUGAAAAAGAAUGGAUAUAUGUAUAUGUAUAACUGAUUCACUUUGUUGUACAGCAGAAAUUAACACAAAAUUGUAUAUCAAUUAUAGUUCAGUAAAAUUUUUAAAAAUGAAAAAAAGAAAACUCCUACUUCAAGACAGUAAUAAAAUUCAUUUUUAGAGGAAAAGUUAAUCUCCAUUUUCACAUUCUCUUAUAUAGCAUAUACCCCGAUGCAACAUUUAUUACAGGAAUAAGGAAUAAUCCAUAAGGAUAUAGUGGACUGAUUAAAUUCACAUGUAUAAAUUUUUUUAAAAUCACCAUUUCUUUAUCAAAUAAAUCGACAGUUUUAAUUAAGAUGAGUAUUAUGUUAAAUGAGUGGGGACAAGAAAACAUUUUAAUAAAUUUGAAUAAAUACACUCUGAUUUUAUUCCAGUGAAUGCAUGUUUAAGAAAAUAUGCAUUGUUUUCAAUUUUAAUAAUGUUAUAAAGAGUAGCAUUGCAGUAUGAACCUAUAAAACAAAACAAUUAAUUAGACCACUAAAGUAUUUUAUCAUAAUCUUAACAGUUCAGCUUGAUCCCAUUGCCAUGUCACAUUCAGUCAAUUUUAGUCGAAACUGUGUGGCUUAUUUGAAAUGAGAUAAGAGGUCUUAGUUCAAUGUCUGUUUAAAAUAAAAAAUACAUGCAUUUUAUAAAGUUUUCUUUCAGUAAUAACUAACUACCUGCAAACUCUUACACAGCUGCAGCUUUACAGAGGUAAUGAAGAUUAAUCAUGUCUCACAAGAAAAAAAAUCAAAAAUGAUUUUUAAUUAACUGAAAGAGGGUUCUCUAAUUUUACCACUUUUUUUCCUUCUUGUAUACUUUCCCACCUUCUCCCUACUUCAGGUCCACAAUCUACCAGUAUCUUACCCUCUAUAAUCUUGAUUUAUUUUGAAGUUCUCUUUUGCCAAUGGGAUUUAGGUAAUUGCGUAUUAUGAAAAAAAUCAAAUUCAUUCUCCUAAGUAAGCCAAUACUGUAGCCUAAUCAUGUAGUUUGGCAUAUUUCAUUUUUAAAAUGCAUCUGUCUUCAAUUGGUAUGCUUACACAAGCAGCCUGAGUCUGGACAUCUUCCUUCUUCAUAAGCACAUGUAAACCUUCAUCACUGAUUUUUAAAAAGGUUUCUCUAAACUAUGUCUAAGACUUUCUAACCCUCAGAAUAUUUAUACUGCAUAUUUGAAAAAAUUCUCUAUAAAAUCCUAAUAUUUAGUAUCAUAAUGACAUAAGAAUUCUUUCAAUACUCAUCUCGAGUAAGGCUAAAUUGACUUUCAGGCUAUUUUAGAAAUAGUGAAAUCUUUUAUUUGAAAAUAAUUUGGGGGGCUAAUUCAAAAAGCUGGUUCACAUAUUUAGUUUAUUUCUCUAUUUGGUUUUAGGACAGGCUACUUUACAUCUUUAAGCUUUGAUUUCUUAUUUACAAAAUGAGCAAGUAAAACUUUUGUGAUGGGUCCCCAGUGAAAUGACAACACCCCUCUUGAAGUGGAUGUGUAACAUAACUAUAUUUAACAGGAACAAGUGAUCCUCACCAGGUACACAACUCUUACCUCAUGCACCACAUUCCAUAAUAGCGAAAAGAAGAGCCCUUGAUCUCAAGAGCUUGACAAUUUAGCUGAGGAGGCUUUACACACACAAAAGAAUUUAAUAGUAAAUGGACUGAAAAGAAACAUCUAAGCAAGUGUGCAUUUUAAGAGUCCUUAUAAUCUAGGUGUAUGCUUCUCAGAUGGAAAACUGCUAUGCCAAAGUGUUCAUUUACAGAAAAUUAAACUAUGGAAAUGAUUCUUUUAAAGUCACACAGCAUGUUGUUGUCAGAUGAUGAGCCAGGUGGCCCCUGAAAUGCAAGCUGGUAGUGAUACUUUUGAACCAGGUUCACUGAGAUAAAUAAUGUCCCAAAAUACCCAGCAACCAUGUGCCCACCCUCCCUUUCCCCUUUUAGAGGAGCAAACACUCCUGACCACAGAAUAAUUACUUUAUUUACAGACAGAAUUAAAAAUUUAAAGUCAGAAUGAUUGUGUGUUUAGCCUGUGAGGUCUUUGAAAAAGCAAUUCUAAGAAGAAUUAUAGAAAAGAGAGAGCUACAUGAGGAAUCUCUGUGGCUUUUAUUGUAUGGUUAUCUUUAUUUAUUUAUUUUUUUCUUUUUAGGACCACAUCCUGGGCAUAUGGAAGUUCUCAGGCUAGGGAAUGAGAGCUUCAGCUGCUGACCUAUGCCACAGCCACAGCAACUCCAGAUCCAAGACUCAUCUGUAACCUAUACCACAGCUCAUGGCAAUGCAGGAUCCCCAACCCACUGAGUAAGGCCAGGGAUCAAACCUGAAUCCUCAUGGGUACUAGUUGGUUUCUUAACCUGCUGAGUGACAACCAGAACUCCUUAUACAUUUUAACAGUGCACUUUGACAUCAGAAUAAUGUCAGUUAGAUUAUUCCUGUGUCAUAUUUCUUCACUUAAGUUAUGACAGACAGAGAAGAGCCUGAGUUCACCUUUUACAUGUAAGUGAGCUUUACAAUGCCAAGUAUGUAAUUGCUAUUAAUAUCAUUCCCAUAAUCAUUUUUUAUACCUAGUAUUAAAACCAGCUCUGAAGAUUUAUUCUGUACUAGGAAGGGUAUUUGACACAUUAUAUGUAUUUACCUACAAAAUAACUUUAGAACACGAUAAUUAUGGUUGUCAUUCGAUAAGUAAGGCAACAUAUUUGUCCAAGGACGCAAUGGGUAGAAGAUCCAUAUUUAAAUCAUGUGUUGCUGCAUUCAGUGUCAGAAAUCUGAUCCACAGCAGAUACAUUGUAUUAUAACUUAACUGCAAACAUUAUUCUUUAACCCUCAGUAUGGUACCUCCUCCAGGGAAGGAAAUGUCAUUUGUUCUGAUCUUCUGUGCCAAAUAUAUCACAGUAAUUAAAUAAGUAUCUAUCAAAGAAUUAAAAGCAUAAUUGAAGCUACAAAUUCUCUAAAAACUGUUUAUAAUAAUAAAUAAUAUUUUCUUACUGUUUGACUAAAAUAUAAAGGCAUGUAAGGCCUCUGCAAGAUAAUAUUUUGCAUCUAUUUGGGUUUCCUUUGCUUUGUGACUUUAGCCCAGUCUCACUAGAUUAUUUAAUUUUCCAGUUAAUAUCAUAUUACUGACCUUGGUGGGAUCUUAUUUCCUACUUUUAGACACUAGUUCCCUACGAGUAUUUUGCCUUUGGGCUAAACUUUAUUGGAAUAAAAGUAUAGUACCUAUAUGUGGUAAAGUAGAUCAAAUCAGACUGUAAUCUUAAUUAGAUAACUAUAACUUUUCCAAAUAAAGGAAAAAAAAUUAAUAUCCAUAAUGCAGGUGACUUCCAUUGCCCAUGUCAUAAAACUACAACCAAAACACUGUUGUCUUCGAGGAAUAUUCCUCAACAAACUGCAAGGGAUAAAAUUGUUCUCCCUUCCAUCAUUAAUAAUUACUUUUGUUCCAUAUGGUAACAGGAAGAAUACAUUACAUGAGUUUAUGCAUUGCCAAAUUGUGUUUCCUUCUGAUACAGUAACUGCCAAAACUUUGCCCAUCAAACACCUGGAUCACACUGAGAAAUGCAAUCACUGAAGUAGGCAGUAAAAUGUACUUGUUUUGCUGGAUAGAGCUAAUUAAAAGUCAAGGUGUUCGCAAUUUGGAACUUCACAGAGAGUAAUGCUUUAUACAAUGUAACCCAAGUUUCAUUUACUUACUUUUUUGAAUCAAAUUAGAGAACAUAACAUACCAUAAUUAUAACUUAGCAGAAAAGUCUGUAAUCUGCUUAAAGUUAAAACAAUAGGUCAGUUCAAUGUAAAAAAAGGGAGGGGUGGACAAAGUGAUCUAUUGACUGUAUUUUAAUUUAUCAUUCCAUGAACUGCAGUAGAGUUGUGUUUGUCACCCUUUUAAAUCCAUUUCUUCCUUAAGUAGCCUUUUAAGACUUUUUUUCCUUAAUUUUCAACCCCAUGAAAUUUUAAUACUGCAGAUAAAGUAUAUAUCUGUUUCUGUAAUGUAUGAAUAUCUGUGCUUUUGUAAUAAGGAAGAACAAAUCUGAUUCCAUAUUGUAUCUGUUUCUUUUACUUUAAACUUUGCAUUCUAUUGCUUUUGCUACAUGUUAAUCACUAAAGGGAUAUGGUCU